UACGUAGGGUGCAAGCGUUUGUCCGGAAUUAUUGGGCGUAAAGAGCUCGUAGGCGGUUCGUCGCGUCGGCUGUGAAAACCCGGAGCUCAACUCCGGGCCUGCAGUCGAUACGGGCGGACUCGAGUUCGGCAGGGGAGACUGGAAUUCCUGGUGUAGCGGUGAAAUGCGCAGAUAUCAGGAGGAACACCGGUGGCGAAGGCGGUUCUCUGGGCAUGUCCUGACGCUGAGGAGCGAAAGUGUGGGGAGCGAACAGG
rnacentral:rRNA from 1 species